rnacentral:rRNA from 1 species
UACAGAGGUCUCAAGCGUUGUUCGGAUUCAUUGGGCGUAAAGGGUGCGUAGGCGGCGCGGUAAGUCGGGGUGUGAAAUUUCGAGGCUUAACUUCGAAACUGCAUUCGAUACUGCCGUGCUUGAGGACUGGAGAGGAGACUGGAAUUUACGGUGUAGCGGUGAAAUGCGUAGAUAUCGUAAGGAAGACCAGUGGCGAAGGCGGGUCUCUGGACAGUUCCUGACACUGAGGCACGAAGGCCAGGGGAGCAAACGGG